rfam:Clostridium collagenovorans DSM 3089 genome assembly, contig: EJ35DRAFT_scaffold00017.17
UCCACCGUGAGGUGGAAUCUGAAGGAAGUCGGCGGCAAAUCUCUGGUCUGACGGAUAGAAAUCACAUAUAAGGCAGUAUCUAUGGGUAAGGUUGCCAAACAAAUCAAAGCCCAAUAACUACUCGAAAAUAGGUAAUGUAAAUGUGGCAGAUAGAUGGAGAGAAAGAUUAGGCU